GACGAACGCUGGCGGCGUGCUUAACACAUGCAAGUCGAACGGUGAAGGGAUCAGCUUGCUGGUUCUGGAUGAGUGGCGAACGGGUGAGUAACACGUGAGUAACCUGCCCCCUUCUUCUGGAUAACCGCAUGAAAGUGUGGCUAAUACGGGAUAUUCUGCGCCUGCUGCAUGGUGGGUGUGGGAAAGAUAUUGUUUCGGUGGGGGAUGGGCUCGCGGCCUAUCAGCUUGUUGGUGGGGUGAUGGCCUACCAAGGCGGUGACGGGUAGCCGGCCUGAGAGGGUGGACGGUCACACUGGGACUGAGACACGGCCCAGACUCCUACGGGAGGCAGCAGUGGGGAAUAUUGCACAAGGGGCGCAAGCCUGAUGCAGCGACGCCGCGUGAGGGAGGGAGGCCUUCGGGUUGUGAACCUCUUUCGCCAGUGAAGCAGGCCUGUCCCUUGUGGGUGGGUUGACGGUAGCUGGAUAAGAAGCGCCGGCUAACUACGUG
rnacentral:rRNA from 1 species